rnacentral:rRNA from 1 species
GACGAACGCUGGCGGCGUGCCUAAUACAUGCAAGUUGAGCGAUGAAGAUUGGUGCUUGCACCAAUUUGAAGAGCAGCGAACGGGUGAGUAACGCGUGGGGAAUCUGCCUUUGAGCGGGGGACAACAUUUGGAAACGAAUGCUAAUACCGCAUAACAACUUUAAACAUAAGUUUUAAGUUUGAAAGAUGCAAUUGCAUCACUCAAAGAUGAUCCCGCGUUGUAUUAGCUAGUUGGUGAGGUAAAGGCUCACCAAGGCGAAGGUACAUAGCCUACCUGAAAAGGUGGUUGGCCACAUCGGGACCUAGACAAGGGCCAAGAUCCCUCGGGAGGCAGCAGUAGGGAAAUUUCGGCAAUGGGCGAAAGGCUUGCCGAGCAACGCCGCGGGGGUGAAGAAGGUUUUCGGAUCGUAAAACUCUGUUGGUAUAGAAGAACGUUGGUGAGGGUGGAAAGCUCAUCAAUUGACGGUAACUACCCAGAAAGGGACGGCUAACUACGUG